GUAAUGUCUGGGAAACUGCCUGAUGGAGGGGGAGUAACUACUGGAAACGGUAGCUAAUACCGCAUAACGUCGCAAGCCAAAGAGGGGGACCUUCGGGCCUCUUGCCAUCGGAUGUGCCCAGAUGGGAUUAGCUAGUAGGUGGGGUAACGGGCUCACCUAGGCGACGAUCCCUAGCUGGUCUGAGAGGAUGACCAGCCACACUGGAACUGAGACACGGUCCAGACUCCUACGGGAGGCAGCAUG
rnacentral:rRNA from 1 species